rnacentral:tRNA from 1 species
GGGGUGUUAAUUUAAAAGGAAAAAUAUUAAUUUUGCAUGUUAAAAAAAGAAGUUCGAUUCUUCUACACUCCA